rnacentral:rRNA from 1 species
GACGAACGCUGGCGGCGUGCUUAACACAUGCAAGUCGAACGGAAAGGCCCUGCUUUUGUGGGGUGCUCGAGUGGCGAACGGGUGAGUAACACGUGAGUAACCUGCCCUUGACUUUGGGAUAACUUCAGGAAACUGGGGCUAAUACCGGAUAGGAGCUCCUGCUGCAUGGUGGGGGUUGGAAAGUUUCGGCGGUUGGGGAUGGACUCGCGGCUUAUCAGCUUGUUGGUGGGGUAGUGGCUUACCAAGGCUUUGACGGGUAGCCGGCCUGAGAGGGUGACCGGCCACAUUGGGAAGGAGAUACGGCCCAGACUCCUACGGGAGGCAGCAGUGGGGAAUAGUGCACAAUGGGCGGAAGCCUGAUGCAGCAACGCCGCGUGCGGGAUGACGGCCUUCGGGUUGUAAACCGCUUUCGCCUGUGACGAAGCGUGAGUGACGGUAAUGGGUAAAGAAGCACCGGAUAACUACGUG